rnacentral:lncRNA from 1 species
CUCGCCGGGUCCUCGCCUCUACUCCACGUACAUCACCUCCAUCCGCACCCGCGUCUCGGUCGCACCUCCUCUCGCUCGCUCUUCUCGGAAAGUUCCGUCCGUUACGUACGCUACGGUGUAACACGCAGGGUGUAUCAAGCUACUGUGUAUCACGCUAAUGUGUAUCACGCACGGUGUAUUACGCUACUGUGUAUCACGCACGGUGUAUGACGCUACGGUGUAUCACGCACGGUAAUCGUAAAGUUCCGUCCGUUACGCACGCUACGGUGUAACACGCACGGUCGCACGGUGUAUCACGCACGGUGUAUUACGCUACUGUGUAUCACGCACGGUGUAUGACGCUACGGUGUAUCACGCACGGUAAUCUUUCACCAUGGUCAUUGGCCAUCCCAUCGUAUGUGUAUAAAACCGAGAAAUUGUCUCUAAAGUUUGAAAUGUUAGUAAUUCUGGAAUCAAAAACAGGUUUUCGUCGGAUUUCGGUUUGAAGCCUGUAAAAAAUAUGAUGACUGAAGCUUAUGCAGAAGAAGAAUUAAGCUUCAAGACUGAGAAUUAAGCUCCAAAACUAGUGUUCUGUGCGUCGGAAAGGGCAGAGACAUCAAGUGUAACCGUGAAAUGAGACUAUAUUGUAACCUCAUAUCCGUGGCAUCCUAAAACGAGUCCGUAAUUCUGGACCAAUGUCAGAGUGUAUAGGGGAAGAUCUAAGAUUCAAACUAGUGCUCUGUGUGCCAGAAACUUGGACAAACGCAACAGUGAAAUAGUGCGCUGCGCCUCUCACCGCAUUCGUAGCAUCUUCGGGCGCGUCCGGUUCAAUGUCAGUGCGCCUGAAACUAUGCGCGAUCCUUCACCCGGGGUCUUGGAUGUGCGGAUCUUAAACGGCUCCGAUGUGUUCGACCGGGACCUGCCUGCGGUUGGCGACCCCAUGGCGGCCGGCCGUCUAGCCUGGAGUGUUGGGAGCAGGCCACUAGGGUCAGGGUCUAGGUCAAGGUCAAGGUCAAGGUCAAGGACACGACUUCACGAUGAUAGACUGGGUGUCGAUCGUGCGGCACUCCCGCCGCCGCUUCUCCAACUACAUGUACGCCAUGCCCAACAAAGUGAUCAAGUGCCGCAAGGGCCCCGGCUUCGGCGGCGGCGCCCGCAACCGCGCCAAACACCACUUCACGCCCGGCUCCGCCUCGUCCUCCUCCAGGGCCCAGUUCCAGCAGAGCUCCUCCCAAACCUACGCUUGGUGCUGGCCAAAGAAAACGAGGUAUAAUGAAGACGAUCUGCCUCCACCCCGUCUCCUCCACAAUUGAAAGAAGUGACGUCGCUAGAUGGAGUACCCAGAGCCGGCAAUGGAGAGACCAAUCUCAUAAUUGACCCGAGCACACCGCAAAUGAUAAUCAGGAAUGAUCAUCAUUCUGUUGUUCCCAGUCACAAUCAGGUUAGUCCCCUUGUCUCAUCUUUUACUAUGCCAACAAAUGUCGAAUGCCUCCGAAUCAAAGAAAAUCUUUGUGAAAUGAUCAACCCCAUGAAGUCAACCUUAAUGAUCAACCUAAAAAAAAUGGAUAUGAAUAGAGAAGUAGUAUACCCUUCAAUUCCAGAACAAUUAAUUCCAGCAAUCUUAAUCUUCACUAUCAUAACUAUAUUUGAAACUAAUUAUAAGUUGAAAGUAAAUAUGAAAAAUAAUGAGGUUAAGUAAAUGAUGAGGUAUAUGUGAUUUAUAAAAAAUGUAAACUCACUAAAAAAGUGAUAAUUAUCAAACACAUAGCUGUACCACAUAUUGCCAUUCGAAACUACAAUUUCUGGCUCAUCGGUCAAAAAUAGUUUGUGCAUAGGGAAACUAACGGUACAUACGUUGUUUGUGAACUAAGACAAAAAUUAUAGUUUCUAAUUGCAGAAUGCAGGCCAAAUACCCUCGCAUGCAUCUUAUCGGUUCAAUGCAAACCGGCAAAGGUUCCCGUUCAUGGUAGACCUAAUCCUGA